rnacentral:lncRNA from 1 species
UUAAGGCCCUCAAAACUUCCAUGCUCAACUUUAGGUCUACAACUAUAAGAUUGCUCUUCAUUACAACUACCACCUCUUUAUCUUCUACCUUCACCACUUCUUCUUUGACCACACUCAUCUUUGCCUCUACAUUUUCCCACUUCACCUCUUAUACUGUUGAUUCUUCUUGCUUUAUUGACAACAAAAGUUAUUUUCCUGAAUUGAUAGGUGAUGUUGAUGCAAU